rnacentral:lncRNA from 1 species
CUGCACAGUUCAGGGCGACCGGUGAGAAGCAGCUCUCUCGAGGCCUGUUCCCGCAUGCUGCGGGGCCGGUGGCCCUCCCCAAGGUCCCUGUGCCGGGGUCCCCAAGCGCGGACGGCGCCCUGUGCGCGGCCGCGGUGGAGCUGAGGCGCGGAGGCCCAGGGCGCUAAAGGCAAAACACUGAUUUAGGCCUCGACUCCGCCGUUUUUGGGAAAGGGAAAAAGAGACAGGUAUCGAAAGGAGAUCGUUUCAGUGUCGGCUUUCCUGCAAGCACGGUUCUCAUUUCUGCAGACAAUGGAACACUCACUGCCGGCUGUGCAAAAUCGAGGGCCCGUUCUGAGGUAGCUUUCUGAGAGUAGGAAAUGGGAGCUAUUUUGUUUUUCUUUUGAAUAGCCCCGGGACAACUUCCUUUAUUUCAUAAGAUGAGAGGCUGAGGCUUUGUACCAUUAUUUUAUUCUUAUCACUGUUCCCCCCUCUCCAAUUCUAAGUCGUGGCCAGCGACUCUGGCAGGCUCUCCGGCCUUGCUCAAGCUCAGGGAAGCCCAUCUCGCCUCAUCAGGCUGAGAUGCAGAUAAGCAGGGCCGAGCUUGAUUCUGGAGCUCGUCACAGCGAGGUUGCUUCUUGGGUGAUUAGAAAGAAGCAGCUGGGAUCUUGAAGCGCGCGUCUGACAAAAGAACUGGGAAUUGAACCCAAGGCCUCCGACAUGUUAGGUACGUACUCUAUCAUUGAGCUACACCCUAGCCCUUUCUACAUUUUAUUUUGUGACAGGAUCCUGCUAAACUGCCCAGGGAGGCCUUGAACUUGCAAUCCUUCUGCUUCAGCCUCCUGAGCAGCUGGGGCUACAAGUGUGCAUGUGCAUCUUGAACUUCUUAUGUCUGGUUUGAGAACUCCCUCCUCAGUUUGAAAUUACAAAACGUGUUCUACUGUGUUGUCAUCUAAAAGUUUUAUCAUCUUGUUUUUCAUACUUACAUCUUUAAUUUAUCUGGAAUUGAUUUUUAUUUAUUGUGUGAAGUAGGAGUCUUAAUUUUUUUUUUUUCCCCAGGACCGGGGAUCGAACUUAGGACUUGUACUUGCCAGACAGGUAUGGUGCCACUGAGCUACAUCCCUGGCCCCAAGUAGGAGUCUUAAUUUAAUUUUUUCAUUUUGAAAUAAGUUGUGCAAGCACUGUCUAUUAAACCAAUUCAUCUUUCUCACUGAUCUACAGUAGUACCUCUGUCCUAUGUGAAAUGGUAAUUAUUGAUGUAUCUUGCUUCUGGACUUUAUGUUGUUCUAUUGGUCUGAAUUUUUAUACCCUUAUCAUCUCUUUAAAAAAAUCUAUUACAUUGUGUACUCUUCAUUAAUUAAAGUCUUCUAUAACAUUUCAAUAAAGUUUUGUAGUUUUCUCCUUAAAGUCUUGCAUCUCUUUUGUUGAGGUUAUUCCUAAGCACAUUAUUAUAACUUUUUUUCAGACAGGGUCUUGAUAUGCAGUUUAGACUGACCUUGAACUCACUAUGUAGCCCUGGUUAGCCUUGAGCUUGUGGUGAUCCUCCUACCUUAGCCUCCUGAG